rnacentral:sRNA from 1 species
AUAAUAUAUAUUGCUGAAGACGCAGUAUUCUAGUAAAUAUAUUUAUUUCUGAAGACGGGGCUAAAAAUCCGUUUAAGGGCACAUCGAUGAAGCUUCUGGUUUUGGCUUGUGACGCCCAGUCAUGGGCUGUUGCUGGAGGAUAUGGGAAAAGGGCGAUCCACAAUGGCAUGUGGGCGUUGACCCUUUUCCCUUGAGGCUUACUUUAUUGUAAGAUUAAACCUGCUAUGUGGUCAUAGGAGGCUACGAGCAGUGUAGCCUUCCUUGAGUAGAAAAGGGAGGAGUGCACAAGUUGCAUGAAACCUUUUUUGCAAAAGAGGAUAGGGAAUAAAUAUAUUAAGGGGAAAGCCCCUAGGCUGUUUUAGAUAGGUAUGUUAGGGAUUACAGUAUGACUUUAAGGUGAUCUAGCUCCAUCUAUGGUGACAUAAUGGGGAUUUGAUUAAAGGGGAACCUCUAGCUUGGUGACAAGCUAGUACGAAUCUGGGAAAACCUGCUGGACCAUAUGCCAUAAAAUUUACUUAACAUGCUGUCUUCAGCAUUUUUUUAAUA